CAUUGAUGAAUGCUUAGGUUGCUUCCACAUCUUGGCUAGUGUGAAUAAUGUUGCAAUAAAUGUAGAAGUGCAGAUAUCUAUUCCACAUACUAAUUUUAGUUCCUUUGGGUAUAUACCUAGUAGUGGGAUUGCUGGAUCAUAUGGUAAUUCUAUUUUUAGGUUUUUGAAGAACCUCCAUACUGUCUUCCAAAAAGGUUGUACUAAUUUAUAAUACCACCAACAGUGUAUAAAGAUUGCCUGUUCUCAAAAACCUCACCAACACUUGUUAUCUUACAUCUUUUUGAUGAUAGCCUAUCUAACAUGUAUAAGGUGAUAUAGCUCAUUGUGGCUUUAAUUUGCACUUCUCUUAUUGUUACAGAUGUUGAGCAUUUAAAAUAUGUAUCUAUUGGCCAUCUGUACAUCUUCUUUUGAUGUCUAUUCAAGUCAUUUGCCCAUUUAAAUGGCCUAGAACUCUUCAAGACCUCUGAGAGACCCUGGGUCCAUUCUGCUGACCAGGCCAAGCAAUUGAGAGAGUAGAAGACUGCUCUGUGACCCUUGGACCAUCUGUAUCUGCAUCACCUGAAAAUUCUGGGGCCUACACCAGACCUACUAAAUCCUCCUGAAUCACUGGAAUUGGGGCCAAACAGCUCACAUUUUAAAAAAGUUCUUCCAUGUAACUUGUGUAAACUCAAGUUUGAGAGCACAGGGCUGGGGAGUUAGAUGGGUCAUUAGACACUGAAUUUCUCAAAAAAAGAGUAGAACUGGCAAUGGGAAGUGAGAAUGAAUACACAAAUAGACAAUGGCCAGACCAUAGAACUUUGACCCACGACCUACAGCAACUUUCCCAGGAAGCCUAUCCCCUUACCUACAAUAGACAACCCAGGAAGCCAGCCUGCUGUAAGUCAGUAUUGCAAGAAGCCAGGUUGCUGUCUUUAUUUUUUGAGACAGGGUCUCACUCUGUUGCCCAGACUGGGGUGCAAUGGUACAAUCAGUUCACUGCAACCUCCACUUCCCUGGCUCAAGUGAUCCUCCCACCUCAGCCUUCUGAGUAGCUGGGACCACAGACACACACAACCAUACCCAGUUAAUUCAUUUUUACUUUUUUGUAGAGAUGGGGUUUCACCAUGUUACCCAGGCUGGCCUUGAAUGCCUGGACCCAAGUGAUCCACCUGUCUUGGCCUCCCAAAGUGGUGGGAUUACAGGUGUGAGCCACCGUGCCCAGCCUAGAUUGCUAUAUUUUAGUGACAAUCCAGGAAGCUAAACAACUCCUGUAGCAAUCAGCCCCAAAUGAUCAGGACUUGAUUAAUAACUGAAAGCCUCCCAAAUUUUUGUCCCGAUUUGUAAUUUAGGACCAACCAGAGAAAGCCAAAUAUGCACCUUAAUCAAUGACAUAGGAUGACUGCUUCUCGUUAGCCUCCUACAGCUUCCCAAGCCAAAAGCUUCCCAUCAGGGCACACCUGAAGCCUUCCCUUUUGUCCACUAUAAGGUUUUCCCACUUCUCUAUCUGUCCUUGAGUCUCUGCCAAAGGACACUGACAGUGGCUGCCUCCCUUGCUAUAGUAAGUUCAGAAUAAAUAUACUUUAUUUUUCUCAUUCGGUUGGUCUUUAUUUCCAGAAGGAAGACUGAAGCAGGAGCAAAAGGCCUUGAUAAAUAUGGAGGAGGGAUGAAAGAUGACAGAGACGAGGAGUGGAAGAGGGAUAUUAGGUGGAUGGCCUCAAGAUCCUAAGGAGCAGACCUGGAGCAAGCAACUUUCAGGUCCCAGGAUGGGCAGGAGCACACCAACCACCUGCGUGACAGAGAAACCAUACACAACUUUGGAGAAGCCCCCGGCACAUGGCUUCCUUACUCCCUGAGCUGCAAACAGGCUGGGAUUAGCAGAGACGAGAGGAGGAUUCAGGUUAGUGCAAGCACAGGGAGGAAGUACCCACCCCAAUCCCUUCUGAGAUGGCCCAAGCUGUGCCCUCAGUCCCCUGCCACAGUGCAUGGACAGGGAAGGAUACUGUAUCUGUGCACUUCAGCCUCUGAUAUUUACUCAACUCCUCUCCGUGACCCCAACACACACACCCUACUGUGUCCGGAAUUGGUGGAUUCUUGGUCUCACUGACUUCAAGAAUGAAGCCGCUGACCCUUGCGGUGAGUGUUACAGCUCUUAAGGUGGC
rnacentral:lncRNA from 10 species